CUUUUUUUCUAAAGAUAGUGUAUUGUAUAAGUAUUUCAGUACAUCAAUACUUAGACAUUGUAUCUUUAGAAGAAACUAAGUAUUUAUGUCGUUGUACUGUAGAACAUCAAUACAUAAACUUUCUUCUAAAGAUUAUGUAAGUAUUUCUCUCCUUGUAUUGUGUAGUACAUCAUUACUAAAACUGACUUCUAAUGAUAGCAUAUCAGUGUUCCUGUCCUUGCACAUCAAUACUUACACUUUCUCCUAAAGGUAUUGUUUUAUAGAAAGUACUGGAAUUAGUUACCGUGUACAAGAUGUAUUUACGGUAUAUUUUUAACUCCACUAUGUUAUACAUGUAUAAGUUUGUCUCUUGUCAUUCAAAGGGCUUCCAAGGAAGAGGUGGACCCAAAGGAGACUUUGGAGACCCUGGUGUGGAGGGGCUGGCUGGUGAGAAAGGUGAAAAGGGUAUGUCUGGAGAACCUGGCCCUAAAGGACAG